CUGUUCCUUAAAAAAUUGACUCUGAUUCUAGUAGUGCCAUCAUGCCAAUGCAUGAUUUGAUUUUGAUUAUAGCUUUAUAGAACUAGUAGUAGCCAUUUUCAUGGCUCAUAUUCUGAGGGAUAUUUUUUAAGAGCUUUGCUUUCCUUUUAGUCAUUACAGAGAUAGCAAAACUAGGAAAGUUUAAAGAUUGUUUGUUCUAACAUUGUUCCUGUGUAUAAUUUUCUAUCGAAAGGAAGAGUCAAGAAAUCAGUUUGAUUAAAAUAUUGGUAUAUUGUUACAAAAAUAGCAUUACUGUUUUUGAGUUUUUUUAGUCUUGGGAUGGUACAAUUUACAAUGUCAUAAAGUUGAGGCAAAUUACUAAGGAGUUGUUUUAGACUUAUUUAUUUUGGCAAAUCAGUUUGGAUGAUGAUUUAUUUUGGUUUCAUGGUUUAUAGGAAGCAAGAGCUCUACUAGGAAGACUUGAGUAUCAAAAGGGUAACGUAGAAGCUGCACUUCAUGUAUUUGAAGGAAUAGACAUUGCUGCAGUGACUCCUAGGAUGAAAGGAUCCAUUUCUAGAAAUGUGAACAAAAUAGACGCCGUUCACAGAGUGAUUCUGUCCCACCUAUCUCCAUGCACGCUGUUAGUCUGCUCCUUGAAGCUGUUCUUCUCAAAGCAAAAUCAUUGCAAGGCCUUGGACGAUAUGAAGGUAUUUCCUUUACCUAACUGUAAUUUCAUUCUUAGUUCAUAGCUUUAGAAUUCUGUUUCACAUUAUUGCUGCUGCUGUCUAGUACUAGUCAAAGUAGUUUUUCUUUUCAUGUGACAACACUACUUCAUGCUUCUCUUGCAGAAAAAUUGUGAUGUGUUAGACCCAAACUGCUAACCCAAGAGAUCUAGCUAUGGGUUACCUGAGGACAAAUUUAUAUUUGCUUGUUUUAACCAGCUAUACAAGAUGGAUCCUGAUAUUUUCAAUACAUGGUGCAACAUCCUUAAGCGAGUACCAAAUAGUGCACUUUGGCUUCUCAGAUUUCCUGCUGCUGGCGAGUCGAGACUCUGCAAUUAUGCUGUUCAAAGAGGUGUACAACCAGAUCAGAUUAUUUUCACAGAUGUUGCCAUGAAGGGUGAACAUAUCAAGCGCAGUGCUUUAGCAGAUUUAUUCUUGGACACAUAGUUGAGAAAAGGUUAUGAUUUCAGAAUAACUGGAGGAUGAAUUUUUGCUCUUUAUACUACAUGGAUUCAUCAUGAUGUGACAAGCGAAGUAGAAAAUGAUACUUAAUUUUGAAGGCUUUGUGUUAGGCAGCUGUAGAACAUUGUGUUGAAAGUAGUAACUUGUCACUAGGUUGAAUAUUUAAGACUCCUUGAAUACUUAAAGAAUAUUUUGUUGUUGAUGAUAGUGUUGAAUGUUUUAAACUAAUUUAUGGAUUGUUAAUACAAUGUUGAAUGUUUUUACUUUUUGUUAUUUGAAAAUCAAGUUCAUUUGAUGA